GAUGAACGCUGGCGGUAUGCUUAACACAUGCAAGUCGAACGGACUCUUCGGGGUUAGUGGCGGACGGGUGAGUAACGCGUGAGAAUCUGGCUUUGGGUUCGGGACAACCACUGGAAACGGUGGCUAAUACCGGAUGUGCCGAGAGGUAAAAGAGAAAUUGCCUGAAGAUGAGCUCGCGUCUGAUUAGCUAGUUGGUGAGGUAAAGGCUCACCAAGGCAGCGAUCAGUAGCUGGUCUGAGAGGAUGACCAGCCACACUGGGACUGAGACACGGCCCAGACUCCUACGGGAGGCAGCAGUGGGGAAUUUUCCGCAAUGGGCGAAAGCCUGACGGAGCAAUACCGCGUGAGGGAAGAAGGCUCUUGGGGUGUAAACCUCUUUUCUUAGGGAAGAACAAAAUGACGGUACCUAAGGAAUCAGCAUCGGCUAACUCCGUG
rnacentral:rRNA from 1 species